UGUAACAGUGUUUAUGUGGUAUUAUUCCACUUGCCACAAAUGUCAGUGUAAUGGGGAAACAGCGCCCCCCCCUCUCGGUGUGGCUGGUUAGGUGAGGCUGGCUGCAGUAAUCGCUGCCAGUCUGCCGUAGCCAUACGAGAGUGUGCUGUGCGGAGUGGUGUAUGGCGAGCCUGUGCACUGAUAAUACACCGUUGUUUCCAUUCAGUUGUUACCCAACUCCGUUUGAAUUUGGAGUCACAGUAAUCUUCUGCACCUGAGCAUUGAAAGAAAAACUGUGAGAGAAAACUUCGUCAAGAAAGAGAGGUGACUGAGCAAUGGAGAAGCUGGAUGAUGUAACAGUAUCUGUCCUUAAAGCUGCAAGCAUUGACGAGCGCAUGCUUUUAACAUUGACCCGUGAUGAUCUGAGGGACCUUUUUUCUGGGCCUGAGCACUUUCUCAGAAGAAAACAUGUGUGGUCAAUAAUUCAUCCUGAGGAAGACCAUCCGCUACCACAGAAACCUGAAACAACUUCUUCACCCAGGGUAGUUGCAACAGGCCCUCCAACUGCUGAUGCUAAUGUAAGCCAGCUGAAAACCUUGCAGCUCCCCAGUCCUCCGGAAUAUGUUCUGUACACCGACAGUGAGUUGGAGCAAUGCCGAAAGAGUUACCUGGAGUUGGCCUGCUCCGGCAGGGAACAGGCAUGCGUCAUGUCAAAAGAACUGAGAUGCAGAUUGGUGAGAAAUACAAUCACAAGUAUGGUGUCCCUUUUGAGAGCAAGCCAAGGCCAAAUGGAGCGAUACCCCUCUAAGACCGAAAUCACUGCAAUGGCUAAAAAAGUUGUGGAAUAUUAUCCUAUGCUGCAGGAUAAUGAUGCAAGCGUAAAACACGAGAGCAUUAAUGCCAAGUUACAAAAAAGGCUGCAAAAUAUGAAAACCCCAGUAAAAAGGCAAGGACCAACACCGGAGAGGGGACGGCCCAAGAGAAGGCUCACUGACCUCUACCCAAGGGAUGAAGAAGCUGAUGAUGAAGAUGCUGAUCGCAGUUCUUCCAGUGGUGCAUCUACUCUGUUAUCACCUGUCAGAAAUUCUGACAAUGCCUCCACUUCAUCUGACAAGGAUAGUCGGCAAAUACAAGCAAGACAUUACAAAACAUUACAAGAAAUGUGUAAGAAGGCAAAACCAAACCAAGAAGAUGUGUCCCAGCUAUUAGACCUCGAGUUUGAAGCCAGAAGAUCCUUCAUUGACUCAGACACCAUGAAAGAGGAGAACAGAGCUUGCCUCAUCUUGGAUGCAUAUCCAUGCUUUAAAGAAUUGCAUCAUGCGUUGGGUGAGCUUCGCAGAAUUUUGGAUCCCCACAACAACAAGUUCAUCAGUCAAGUAAAACUGAGAUGGGAAGAAUUCUGCUCCAGGGUAGAGUUCUACGGUGUGUCAAAGAAGGCAAUGAAUCCACCAAUGACCAUGGACAAAACUGAAGCCCACCUUGCACUGAUGAAGGCUCUUCCAACCCUCUUUCCCACACCUGCCCAUCCACCAAAGAAGAUGGGGAAUGCUUCUGAAGCAUUUCUACAUGUCCUGAAGCCUACAGAAGAUCCAGAUGCUGUCCUCCAGAAACGAAGCUUGUCAUGUCCAGUAGUGAUGUUCGAUGGCUGCAAGUGUGUCAUUGCUGUUGGUAAUUUACCAGUUACAACAUUUGACAAAGAAAAAAUUGGUGAGGCUAUGAUAUAUGUGAUGGCAUACUUUUAUGCACUCCAUCUGACUUACCACAAAUGCGUGGCAACCCUGCUGUCUGUCAUUCAGACAGAAGUUCUCCAGGAUGCCAUUCAUGAGCAUGACACUACAUCAUCUUACAGAAAAGCCCUGGCAGAAUGGCAUGCAUUUAUUGGAAAGUAGUGUGUAAAUUUCAGAUAAGAUUAGGAGAGGGCACUUCUGUUUUGUUUUUGUUUGUUUUUUCAAUCUGGGUCUUAUUUCUAAAAUGGAAAAUGUUCAUUUACUCACCCAGACAAGUUUUGUGGUAUUUGGUGUCAUUCGGAAGAAAUUUGAAUCUUUGUGGUCUUCCUAUGUCACUCGUCAAUUUUAAUGGGGCAAUGGCGAAACCUCUAAGGCUGUUGAAAUGUUGAAACCACUUAAACAAACUCAUAAUGUUGGACCUGUACUGUUCAAUUGUAUCUUUAUUAUCUGCAGGUUAUUGUUAAAGUGGACAAAUAAAGAUGGACACUUUUACUCUGUUUCAGUUUUGUUUUGUCCUUAAUCAGCAAU
ensembl:lncRNA